rnacentral:snRNA from 1 species
NNAAGAUUAGCAUGGCCCCUGCCCAAAGAUGGCAUGCAAAUUCGUGAAACGUUCCAUAUUUUU